GGCUGCGUCAUGAAAGAUGAACUUCUCUGUCCUCAUUCUGAUAAGAGAAUAUAGAAACUUAUUUAAAGUUGGGUUCCUUUAGCCUUAAAAAUCAGCAAUAAUUGUGAAAGUAUCUUAGGGGGGCAGAAGCUACUAAUUAGCCCAGGAAAACCAGUCUCACAUUCUCCUGAAACAGAGAUCUGAAACAUAGCUGGUCACAUCACUUUGAUUUUGUACACAACAGCCUAGGCAUCUUGGAGAGAAUCCAUUGCGCCAUCUUCAGAAAGUCCUUUCAUUAUUCAAUAUUACUUUUAUCAGAAUGGCAAAGCUCUCUGCUUAAUUGCUCCUGCCAAAAGGUGAUGUCUUUACUUCUCCAUGGGUAAUCUAUAACAGGGCAAGCCAACAUGGUGCCCUUUGAAUGUUGUUCAACUACAACUCCCAUCAUCCCUGAUCACUGACCAAGGGGACUGAGACUGAUGGGAGUUGUAGUCCAACAAGAUCUGGAGAGUACCACAUGGGCUAUGGUGAUCCAUGAAAUUAUUCAAACGAGAACAAAUGAUUAGAUAUUGAAAUGUUUAGCAACUGGCAAUCUGAUCCUAAGUACUCUAGGCACUAUUUCAGGCACAAUAUAAGUAGUUCUGUGUGCACAACAGAAUCUAUGGCUCUUUUUCCCAAAGGUACCACUUAAUUCUCAAAGCCUCAGAAUUAGUCUAUGAUGUAGUGCACAAAGCUGAUUCUAUGAUAGGGGGUCAGGAGCCCCACUUCACGUGUGCAACCACUUGGUCCUGCCUAAAGAAGGUCUUGGUGAUUGUUACCAAUCCCUUGUUCACCUGAAAGCUGGUUUUCAUUAGAAUGUUCCCAAGGAAUUCUGGGCAGAUGCCAUUGAUAUGCGCGGUACUUCAAAUAUGAUGUGAGCCAACUUUGUUAAUGGCAGUUGACCCAACAUGGGAUUGCAAAGACAGAUGUCUAGUUAACGAACUUCACUCUGCAAAAGAAUAAAAGAAUAAAAAAGGAAAAGUCCCUUUCUAUCUGACUGCAGUCCAGUAUUUUGUCUUCAAAUGCCUACAUAAAUAUUUCACAAAUAAAUGUUUAUAAAAACUUAGAUCUGAAAAUGUUACAACACUCCUGGACAUCAUUGAUAUUUCUUUUAGAAACUCUGUUCCAAACUAGCUUGGCCAUUAGUCACAAGGUCUUUAACUCUGUGGCAUACAUUUGUCAGUCAUUAGCUUGAAAUGCACUUGACUUUUUAUAAUAUUGAAUCUAGUAACACCUUUAAGACAGACAAAUGUUAUUAGUAGAGCAUAAGCUCCAGCAUAUAAAUUCUUAUGAUUUAUAAGGUAGUUUGUCUUAAAAAUGCUGCUGGGCUUAGACUAUUAGCAGCUUGGAAGUAUUAUUUAAGUCCCUAAAAACAAAGCUCUCUUCGUUUGGAAUAACAGACUAAAGCCACAUAAAGGAACAUCACUUUGAAGGGUUUAAAAUAUGUACAUUGUCUUUGGAAGCCAUAUAAUUCUGGUCUUUCUUUCAUUACCACAACCCAAGUAACAUAUUUGCAAUUAAAAAAAAAAAUUGCAAAGCUGCCCAGUGAGUACAGUGCUAAUAUGAAUCUUGUAGAUUCAUGGGAUCAUACUAACAUAGCAAUGGAGUAACCACUCAUCUACUUCCGGGUUUAAAUAAAACAGACUAGCACAGCUCAGUCUGUUAAGGAGUACUAAGUGUUUGUUUUCUGUAGUACAGCCCAGCUAUUCAGAGUACAGAGUACAAUUCUGGAAUGUAGUACCAUAUGUGCACAUACAGUUCAGUUACAAAUUUGUAAUGGGUAAGUUCAGUAUACCCAUUAAAAUGUAUGUUUAUAGAUUUAAAAUAUGAUAUUCAUAACUGUUUGGGUUAAUUUGUGUCUGUCUGUUCUUCAUAAUACUUCCUGGCCUGUUUCUUCUAUUGUCCUCCGUCAACAUCAUUCAGCAUCAGCAUUAUACAUUUAUUGUUAGCAGUUUCCAAUGCAUAUUGCACACAUCUGUGUCUGCUUGUGAAGCAUGGUAGUCCCUCAUAACAUCCUAAAAAUUGCCCAAAGUUGCUCAUCACUAGCAUUUUGCUUUUUAGCUCUACAGGCUAGCUUUCCCCAAUUAAAGAGAUAGAUAGAAGCAUACCUUGAUAGUUUCUGAUGAAUUUAUUCCAUUUGGCAUCUCCCAGUCUAUUCCCUUCACAGAAAUGAGUCACCAGAACAGUUUGCUGAUGCCAAACACCACACUCGAAAGGCAUCAUUUAUUUUGUCUGUUACACUUGUACCAUCCUCUUCUUCUGAAGAACUUAGACUGGCUAGGUAUAAUUCCUGGAUUGCCUUCCUUAUAAGCAGUGCUCAAAGCCAAACCCACUUAACUGUAGCACUUGAAUUUGAUCAUAUGGCUUCAUAUGAUCUUUUGUGUCAUCUUUGGUGCUGUGGAUACUGGAACAAUUUGCUGCAGAUAUGACUUUGAAAUCAGGACUCUUGUUCACUUUCUUCCUUUUAACUCAAGAGCUUUGAAUCUUGUGUUUUUGUGGUGGUUAAUUUUUCUGAAAAGAUAUACAAUUUCAUCACCAGAGCAACAGAAUCUGAACUGAGCCCUGCUCUCUCUCUGUUUCCCCCCUCAAGUUAAGAUGAAAUUAUUACAGACUGAAUUUACAGUGCAUAUUUAUUAAGAACUAAUUCCCACUAAGCUCUGUGGCACAUACUCCCAGGGAAACGUACAUAGGGUUGUAUCCAUAGGGAUUCAUGUGCUUUGGUGAAGAUGCAAACUUGGGAUGAAACCUUUGUGAUAGUCACCCAAAGUGGACUUUGCUGCCAUUUUUUAUUGUAGACAGGUAGAGUUCAUAAGCUUCAUUGGCUGACUGUCACAUGGUAGAAGUGAGUGUGUGCCCCCUCUUCCAUACACCUUAAAUUACAUUAUUUCUGUACAAAUGUCCCAAGACACAUUUUUCUCUGCCUUUGGACACUAUGGAAUAAUCACAUAAAUUAAACCCUCUCCUAUAAGUGGCUCUUUGUGAAGAACAUAAGUUAUCCAUUUCUUUAGGUGUGUGAUGGAGCAGAGAGGCAUGUGCUUGGAAGGAUUCCUGAGAGUCUGUGUAGAUGGUAAAUCCUAGAAGAAAUAUAGGAUAGAGGGGGAAACCUUCUACAAACCAGUGCUAAUAUUGCUUCUAAUACUGUGCACUGUGCAUUGCAUCCUCCUUACUAGUCCCCUAGGUGGAACUAAUGUAGGCCAAGGACAGGAUAAGCCAGCUCAUGGAGAUCAGAAAUGCUUUGGCACAUAUUCAUUAUGACUUUGAUCUUCACAUGUUCCACAGUGGCUUCAAGACUCAAUGCCCAAGAUGCCAAACUGUACUAACAUUUAUUAUUAUUAUUAUUAUUAUUAUUAUUAAUAAUAAUAAUAAUAAUUAAAAGUUAGGGUGGCUUAAAAAUUCCUGUGGCAGGAUGCUUUAUAUUAUGGAUGGGAAACGUGUGGCCCUCUGGGUGUUGUUGGAUUCCAACUUCCAUCAACCCCAGUGGUCAGGGGAUGAUGGGAAUUGUUUUUCAGCAACACCCAAAGGGCCAAAGGUACCCCCCAUUCCUACUUUAUACCACAACAGGAAGAUUUCACAUUCCAAUUUGGGGAUGGGGAAUUUUGCUUACUUGGUGGCUUGCUUCUAAGCUGCAUCGCAUGUGUCUCGUAUCACUUGGUUAGACAUGCGGCAAGAUCUCCUGGUGUGUAUAUAAAAAUAUAUUGAUUGUGCAGUAUACAGAUGAUGGAGUUACACACAUUAGUAUUCUGCAG